AGAGUUUGAUCCUGGCUCAGGACGAACGCUGGCGGCGUGCUUAACACAUGCAAGUCGAACGGGACUACUAUGAAGGAGUUUUCGGACAACGGAAUAGUAGUUUAGUGGCGGACUGGUGAGUAACGCGUGAGGAACCUGCCUUUCAGAGGGGGACAACAGCUGGAAACGGCUGCUAAUACCGCAUGAAGCAUUCUUGGGACAUCCCGGGAAUGCCAAAGAUUUAUCGCUGAAAGAUGGCCUCGCGUCUGAUUAGCUAGUUGGUGAGGUAACGGCCCACCAAGGCGACGAUCAGUAGCCGGACUGAGAGGUUGACCGGCCACAUUGGGACUGAGAUACGGCCCAGACUCCUACGGGAGGCAGCAGUGGGGAAUAUUGGGCAAUGGGCGAAAGCCUGACCCAGCAACGCCGCGUGAAGGAAGAAGGCUUUCGGGUUGUAAACUUCUUUGACAGGGGAAGAGUAGAAGACGGUACCCUGAAAACAAGCCACGGCUAACUACGUGCCAGCAGCCGCGGUAA
rnacentral:rRNA from 1 species